rnacentral:rRNA from 1 species
GGGCCCGCACAAGCGGUGGAGCAUGUGGUUUAAUUCGAUGAUACGCGAGGAACCUUACCAGGGCUUAAAUGUAGUGGGACAGGUCUAGAGAUAGACCCUUCUUCGGACUCAUUACAAGGUGCUGCAUGGUUGUCGUCAGCUCGUGCCGUGAGGUGUCAGGUUAAGUCCUAUAACGAGCGCAACCCCUAUCGUUAGUUGCCAUCAAGUAAAGUUGGGAACUCUAGCGAAACUGCCGGUGCAAACCGAGAGGAAGGUGGGGAUGACGUCAAAUCAUCACGGCCCUUACGUUCUGGGCUACACACGUGCUACAAUGGUCGGUACAGAGAGCAGCCACUACGCGAGUAGGAGCGAAUCUUCAAAACCGAUCUCAGUUCGGAUCGCAGUCUGCAACUCGACUGCGUGAAGCUGGAAUCGCUAGUAAUCG